GUGCUGGCUUCAGCAGCACAUUUAUUAAAGUUGGAACUAUACAGAGUUUAGCAUGGCCCCUGUGCAAGGAGGACAGGCAAAUUCAUGAAGGGUUCCAUAUUUUU
ensembl:snRNA U6 U6 spliceosomal RNA